rfam:Toxocara canis scaffold313, whole genome shotgun sequence.
GCAGUAGUUCAGUGGUAGAGUUUCCGCUUCGUAUGCGGGAACAUCUGGGUUCGAUUCCCGGCUGC